GGACAGAGUUAACCGGAGAGGAAAAAGGGGACACGAAACCACCGUGGCUGCAAUGGCGUCGCCCGCUCCCGCUCCCGCGACCGCGAAGCCCAUCGCUCUCCGGCGGCCGCCGGUCCCAGUCCGCGGCGGGUUCUGCCCGGUGCGUCCGUCCAUGGCUGCAGCGGCAGGCCGGCUCAGAGUCUCGGCCUCCGCUUCCGCCUCGGACGUGCCCGACUUCCUCUCCUCCGACUGGCUUGAAACACGCAAGAAGAAGCCUUUGGGCCCCAGGUUGAAUUUUAAUGCAGAAGAAGCAGUGGAGUACCAGCUUGAGGCCUUGAAAUACAAUGACAAACCCCGCCCGGAUUAUGGGGUUGAGGUCAUGUACCGGUUUGCAGGCUUUAAUCCAUUUGAAAGGUCAACUUAUUUUGGACGACAGUUUGAUCUUGGGCAGUUCGAACGUUUCCGGCGGAUAUUUCACCAUUCAACUUACAGGGUGCUGCUUGGCCACAAAGAAAGAGAGAUAUUAAGCAGAUUAUGGGUUGAAGAGAAUCAAUUUAAGCAGAGAGUUUGGAUCCGAGGAGCUCGCCCGGAGGAAGAAGAGAUAUUCCAGUUUACAAUGGUUCAGAGAGUUGGCGGCUCGUGGGACGGCUACUGGCUAACCGAGAGCUUGACAAACGACGACGGGGACGCAUUCUCAGGCGGGGUUGCUUAUUGACAGGCAUGUACAUAUACACUCAACUUUCAGCGUAUAGAUCGAUGCCUAUACGAAUACUAGCAAACUAGAAAAUGUAAGUAUGAGUUGAUGGUCCAGAUAUAGUUGACGUUUGCGACGACUGUCCAUGUAGAUGACACACUAGCAGAAGAAAGGAAUUUGCGGUGGAAUUAGCUGGUGUGUUCCCAUCCUGUAAAGCAUCUCAUCAUGUCAACCAUACACUACCAGAUCUAAGCUAUAUAUAUACUUACAAGACAAUCGCUUUCAAGAUAGAAAAGGGUCAUGCUUGUAGAGUAGUAUUUUGUCUGCUUGGUUCCGUAGGUGGACAAAACACCCGGAUUCUGGAUGUCUUGGAAAGGUUGCUGAGCCGAACACACAGGAAGGAACCAAAGUUCAUCACCAAACCUCACCAGACACCAGCAACUUGCUUGGGGGCCUUUCUGGCUCUUGUAUAUCAUUCCGAGUUCGACCAAUCAGAAGCACGGUUCGUCGCGAGCACCUGACUUGCGAGUUCGUCUUCGAUGCUUCAUCCUUCUCUCUUGGUAACUGGUCAUUUCACCUGUAUCGGUCCAGGUUUUCUGUUGGCGGGUUCCGUUCUGAUCGGCGUGUGUUGCGGUGAGACCUGCUGGUACUAAAAAACAGCAAGGACAUGGACCGCAAGGCUACCAGUCUGACAUGCUACUCACCUGAAGGCGGAGAGGACAGAAGGAUGAAGCUUGCGGACGGUGCAGAUGAUCGUCACCGUCUGCCGACGCCGAUUCCACAUAUGGAGUAGCACAUGAAUGAAACGAAUCUGCGGUAGGUUUGGCUGCUGUGCUCUCAUUCUGCAAAGGUUUCGUCGUGCCAACCAUGCCGUGAAAUGCAUAGAAAACAGUCGUUGUCAAGACAAACAAGUGUAUAGAAGAGAGGAGUUACGGCCGUAAUGAGCUUGCAAAACAAAAGUUCACCCCUAAAGAAAAGCUUGUAAAAGGUUCUCCGGUGUUCAUGUAAAAACAGAAGGUUCUGCAUUGUCAAUCAAUUUUGUAACGUAUACUUGUGUGGUUUUUUUUUUUGAACCAGGCCUUAACCCCUUUCCAUUAUAAGCAUAAUGGAAAUACAUAGUUCAGUAACCAAAGACCCAAAAGCCACACUCAACCUAAGGAAGCUAGAAAGGGGUAAGGCGAGCUCAAGGCACCUCUGGGAAACCCACCAUGAGCACUUGUCCUCGAG
rnacentral:rRNA from 1 species